UAGCCAUCUCAGUCGCACACGCAGUGUAAACAAAAACGUGGAACCAGUUUUUCAGUGUUGCCUUUAACAAACCCCACCAUUCACAUACACUUGUGUGAAAAAGUAGUGAAAAUUAGCGGCGAAUGCUGUCCGGAUAUACAAACACUCAUACAUUCAUAAACAACUGGGCGAAAAAUGCAGCCAGCAGUUGCUCUGAGCAAAAGAGUUUCGAAGCGGUCGCCGUCGUGUACGUACGUAAAUGCGUGAGUGGGCGCGUGUCGCAGAGCGCUAGUGAAGAUUAAAGAAAAAUAAAAAUAAAUGAAAUAGUGAAAAACAAUAACAAGCAUAUUGUAGACAAACCGAGCAAAGUGUAAAAAUAUUUUUAAAUAAAUAAAUGAAACACGAGUAUUGCAAUGAAAUACGCUGCUGCUGUAUAAAAGCAUAAAAUGUGUGGCUUGAAAAUAAAGUAGAAAAAAGUGUUGGCGCAGGAAGUGGAGUUAGCAAAAACAAAACGAUACUCAGUGCCUCUACGACAGAACGUUGACGUCGGUGUAACCGCGACGGUUCCUAACGAAAUCGAACGACUUUUACAAAAGUGUAUAAACAUUUAUGAAACAAAUAUUGUGCAAGCUACAGCUAGAAGAGUUGCCUCCAAUUCAUGAAAAAUAACUUCAAACUCCACUGGCAACACCCUUUGUACUAUACUCACCAUGCUCAGCAGUUCGUAAGCUGCCAAUUAGGCAACAUUUCAACAUAGCAGAUGUCAAAUUGAAUUACUAAAGGUAAACAAAAGGAAAAACGAAAACUUUGCAAGAUUGUGAAAAUGGUUAUCAGCAGACCGCAGGACACUGAACGGGCUGAGUGAUUGCAAGUCAAAUGCUAAGCCACGACAGCAGAGGACCUGUGUGGCUGUGUGGUGAAUUAGAGCGCACUAAUUUGACAGCAAGUGGUAGAAAAAUAAGUGAGAGAGUGCCAGUAUUUUUCAAGAGAGGAUAGAGUGAGCGCAACUGCAGCAAGGCUCGCUACUGCUGACUUUUGCUGCCUGACAAGCCUGGCAAACUACCAGUCAUAGACAGAAGUGAGCAGCACAGCGUAGGUAGCUGUCCAACGAAUAUAAAAGCGGAUGAAAAUUUCGAACGAUGUGACGCGAAAAAAAAUCAUUACUUUAUAAAGUGUUUGCAAAAAGAAAGAAAUUAUCAAAAUUUAAAGUGAAUAGGAAAUUUGUGAACGAAAAAGUUGAACGCGAUGAAAAAAUCUAUGCAGAACUCAAAUAACUGGCUGCGCUAAGCGUUGUUGGCGAAGUCGCAACGAAAAAAAAUUUUUGGGUGUGAAAACGAAAGUGAAAAUUUAGCACAGAAACAAGAAACGAGUGCGCGCGUACGAGGUGGAGACGGCGAAAGCGGCAGUGCGGUUGGCGGUGAGUCCUCCCCUGUGACGACGGCAGGCGAUUGCAGCAAGGAGCGCACAGUGACGCUAACAGCGCGGCGUGGAACGUAUGGAACGUAUCGCAAGCGUUGUUUAGCUAGCAGCAAGGAUGCUGUGCAGCGCAAACGGCAGCUAAGAAGACCUGAACAACAACAACAACAACAGAGAAAACUAGGAAAAUGUGCGCAGCGUUGACGUUGACGCUGACUGCGACACUCACUGAGCCCCAACAACCGUGUUAGAUUUGCAUGUAUGUAUGUGCAGAGGAACUUGGCUCAAAAAAUAUACAUACAUAUAUACAUCACAUAAACACUUUCACGAAAAUCAAACCGACAAAAAGUCUUGACGACAACAUACUUCAAAUUCCUCACAUAUUUACAUUCGUGCUGUACGUACGCAGGUGCGUGCGUUCGUGUGCGCCGAGAUUUUGUGUGUCACGUGAAUAGCUUUGCAGCGCCUAAAUUUAUGCUAUAAAUAGUUUACGUGCACCCAAAGUCCAAAAAAAAACUCCCAAAAGCACGUAUGUAGGGGCGAACGCCGUUUAGCGCCUGUAAAUAUGCUACAUUUGGCAAUUUGGUGUGAAAGCAAAGCCAAAGCGAAUGAAAAACAGCUGAGUGGCUGAGCCAACGACGGCAGGUUAACGCCUAAAAGUGUGCUAAACUAAGGGCAGACGCUGACUGUGUGUGUGUAUAUGUAUAUGCGUGCAAGCGGCCAAAAGUAUGCAAUGUAUUAUGUAAAACGGAAAGUGAAGAAAUUUUGGGCAAGGCAAGCAGACGACGCGAAGGCUGUGACUUUUUAAAAAUUCGAGUGCGAAAAUAUUAAAAAAAGAAUAUUUUCAUUAAACAUAGAAAUUUGGAAAAUUUUCUAGCGCGUUAAAGUAUGCUACGCUAUAGAUAGGUAUGAAAGUUUGCGCAACACAUAGAAGAGAAUAUUUUAGUGCAGUAAAAGUUUUGUCUGAAGUUGAGCAGCUGAUACUGUAAUGCCCCUAAAAGUAUGCUAGAUUUCUUAGAAUCUGUGGAAAGCGCAAAAUAAGCAAAAACAACUGUGAAGAGCGCGAUUAAAUAUAUUAGCAAUAGCUGUUGAAAAUAUGCUAAACUAAAAAAAAAAUUUAAGCAGCGAUGUAUUGAAAUUGAAUCAACAUCGCCUAAAAAGGUGCAGCACUCAGCGCAGUAGUGUGAAAAAUUGUGCACCAUAAGGCAAAAUUUGUGCCCAAAAAUGUGCAAAAAUUCACUUAAACUUGCAACAUAACGAAUUGCUUGUAACAAAAGAAGCUAAAAAAAAGUGUAUACACAUACCCACACGCUUUAGCGCCCAAUAGUCUGCUACGAUUUAAGCAGCAGCAGCAGCAAGUAAGAAUAAAGCAAGAGAGCGUGUAAAAAUGCUAGCCAAAAUAUAAA
rnacentral:lncRNA from 1 species